rnacentral:rRNA from 1 species
CCAUGCCUACAACAUAGCGUUAAUGCACCAGAUCCCAUUAGAACUCUGUAGUUAAGCAUGCUCAGGCUAGAGUAGUACAGGGAUGGGUGACCUCUUGGGAAGUCCUAGUGUUUUACAUGCC